AAAUAGGAUUUUUUUUUACCUCUACUCCCUGUUGCUUCCCCAGUCCCAGUGCCAUGGCUACCAGCAGGCGACGGCUAGGGGCGACGCCGACCAGCAGGCGAUGGCUCGGGGCGCAGAGAAGCGGGCGACGGCUGGGGCGGCUGGGGGCAACGGUGCGACGGCUUGGAGGCGGGUGUGCAGCGCCGGCGGUGGACUGGAUCAAGGUGGCGAGGCAGCGACCGGCGUCGAGGCGCGGAGGCGGCGAUUGGCGAGUGGCGAUAUUUUUCGAUCUGAUGCGGUUUCUGUGUGGCGGCGCAAUGAGACGCAUCUUUUAGUUUUCAUCCUGUGUCACUGGCUCACUGCUCCUCCAGAUCAAGGGAGCAGCAACAGAAAAAGCUGCCUUGCCGCCGCCAACAUUGAAGAGAACGGCAUAGAUGCCAUGUUGAGGAUGGGUAGCACCUGCAGAAGGCACAAACCUGCUGCCCCAAGGCUGGAGGGGGCACUCGAGGAAAACACCAUGGUGGGCGGUUGCUAUCGGGGACCCGUGAUGGUUAUCGUCAAGGAGAAGCAACAGUGCAAAAAAUUACACCUCCUUUCACAGUAA
rnacentral:lncRNA from 1 species